AGAGUUUGAUCCUGGCUCAGAAUCAACGCUGGCGGCGUGCCUAACACAUGCAAGUCGAACGCGAAAGGGGAGCAAUCCCUGAGUAGAGUGGCGAACGGGUGAGUAACACGUGGGUGACCUACCCUCGAGUGGGGGAUAACAUCCCGAAAGGGGUGCUAAUACCGCAUGACAUCCUGUCUUUGAACAGAUGGACAUUAAAGCCGGGGAUCGCAAGACCUGGCGCUCGAGGAGGGGCUCGCGUCCGAUUAGCUAGUUGGUGGGGUAACGGCCUACCAAGGCGACGAUCGGUAGCCGGCCUGAGAGGGCGGACGGCCACACUGGGACUGAGACACGGCCCAGACUCCUACGGGAGGCAGCAGUGGGGAAUUGUUCGCAAUGGGCGCAAGCCUGACGACGCAACGCCGCGUGGAGGACGAAGAUCUUCGGGUCGUAAACUCCUUUCGAUCGGGACGAAUGACUGGUGGUCUAACACAUCAUCAGAGUGACGGUACCGAGAGAAGAAGCCCCGGCUAACUCCGUGCCAGCAGCGGCGGUAAUUC
rnacentral:rRNA from 1 species